GGAGUCUGUGAGGGGAAACUACAUCAAACUCCGCUGAGGGGAAUCGUUAACAAGAGUAGAAAAAUAAACAAAGACACAUGUAAAUAAAAGAAAAAAAAAACAUACGCAAGUCCAUCAGCUGACGGACAGCAAUCAGCUGAUUGGAUCGACGCCGGAGAGGAACAGAUGUUAUUCACGGCCAAAGCAUCAUCGACAAACACACUCUUUGGUGACUGAAGAUGGUGAAACGAAAGUCCUCCGAUGAAGAGUGGGAGAGGGAAGAGCUGGCCGUCCCUCUCCCUAUCCAGACAUUUUUAUGGCGUCAGAGCAGCCCCUUCAUCAGACCAAAACUAGGAAAGCUACACGAAGCAACAUGUAUGUUUUGCCAGAGUGCCCCAAGCCAUCACGUAAGUUAGGACAUUUUGACCCUGUGUGUAAAGGCAGUUUGACCCUU
rnacentral:lncRNA from 1 species